CUGCCACCUUUCAAAUUUGUUUACUUGGAUCGUGGUAAAUUUCAUUCUCUCAUUUUUUAGGAUUUGAUUUUGUAAGAAUCUCCCAUGGGAACCCUCCAAACAGCUGUGAAGGGAAGAGAGCGACGAGGGGCAAUCUUAGUCUUUGAAGCAGAGCAUCAAGGGACUGAAGCUGACCAGAAUGAGUCUUUUCUGCUUCUCACUGGAGGGCUCUAUGAAUCGCUUAUAUGAGCCGAUCCUAGGGAAGCAAGCUAACCAAGGGAGCAUCCCUGGCAGAACUGGUUCUCCUGCCUCACGCCUUGGAGAGAGGGGACAAG